rnacentral:tRNA from 1 species
CACUAAAUAACUUAAAGUAAGUAUAAGCCUCUUAAGCUUUAAAAUAAUAAUUAACAACUAUUUUUAGUGA